UUCCAGUUUCCCGCGGCAUCCGAAAUUCAAGAUGGCGUCCUAAAGGCCUAAAGUGAAAAGUUGAGGUUUGGGUUAUCACUUUUCCUUGACAAAGAUGCCACCCAAGAAAGGAAAAGGAGGUGGAGCUGGAAAACAAGAUAAAGGAAAGGGAGCUAAAGGGGGAGGUAGUGAGGAUGCUGGUGCCAGUGGAGGGAAAA